CUGGGCGUAAAGCGCACGCAGGCGGUCUGUUAAGUCAGAUGUGAAAUCCCCGGGCUCAACCUGGGAACUGCAUCUGAUACUGGCAGGCUUGAGUCUCGUAGAGGGGGGUAGAAUUCCAGGUGUAGCGGUGAAAUGCGUAGAGAUCUGGAGGAAUACCGGUGGCGAAGGCGGCCCCCUGGACGAAGACUGACGCUCAGGUGCGAAAGCGUGGGGAGCAAACAGGAUUAGAUACCCUGGUAGUCCACGCCGUAAACGAUGUCGACUUGGAGGUUGUGCCCUUGAGGCGUGGCUUCCGGAGCUAACGCGUUAAGUCGACCGCCUGGGGAGUACGGCCGCAAGGUUAAAACUCAAAUGAAUUGACGGGGGCCCGCACAAGCGGUGGAGCAUGUGGUUUAAUUCGAUGCAACGCGAAGAACCUUACCUGGUCUUGACAUCCACGGAAGGUCUCAGAGAUGAGACUGUGCCUUCGGGAGCCGUGAGACAGGUGCUGCAUGGCUGUCGUCAGCUCGUGUCGUGAG
rnacentral:rRNA from 1 species